UACAAUGACUGACAGGAAGAAAUGAACGAGCAAUCUUCCUUUAGAAGCUCAUUUAAAUACAGGAUCAGUUCAUUUGCAUAUUGAUCAGAUGCUUCAGUGCUCUGAGAGUGUUUAUAGUGCUGUGAGUUUAACACUUCAUCACUGACACACACAACAAUCUUCAUCAACAUGACCUUCAUCAUCAUCUUCAUCUGGACUCUCACAGCGUUUGCUCAAGAGUGUAGAGGACAGAUCACCGUCACUCAGAGUCCCUCAACGACAGCAGCUCGACCAGAAGAAACAGUCAAAAUCAACUGUAAAACCAGCACAGAUGUGUACAGUGAUGGUGUUUAUGAUUAUUUAUCCUGGUACUUACAGAAACCUGGAGAAGCUCCUAAACUCCUGAUUUAUGCUGCAGACAAUCUUGAGUCAGGAACUCCAUCUAGAUUCAGUGGCAGUGGAUCUAACAGUGAUUUCACUCUGACCAUCAGUGGAGUCCAGACUGAAGAUGCUGGACAUUAUUACUGUCAGAGUUACCACAGCAGUGGUGAUGUGUUCACACAGUGAUAAAGAGUCGUACAAAAACCUCCGUCAGUCAGAGUCACAGAGACUGAACUGAUCCUGCAGCUGCUCAAACACUAUCACUCACUACUGACACACAGAGACAAACACAGC